UACGUAGGGUGCAAGCGUUAAUCGGAAUUACUGGGCGUAAAGCGUGCGCAGGCGGUUUUGUAAGUUUGUCGUGAAAGCCCCGGGCUCCAACCUGGGAAUUGCGAUGAAGACUGCAAGGCUUGAAUCUGGCAGAGGGGGGUAGAAUUCCACGUGUAGCAGUGAAAUGCGUAGAGAUGUGGAGGAACACCGAUGGCGAAGGCAGCCCCCUGGGUCAAGAUUGACGCUCAUGCACGAAAGCGUGGGGAGCAAACAGG
rnacentral:rRNA from 1 species